CUCUCUCUUUUAUUAAUUUAUAAAAAUGAUUGGCCUCAUUGGAUCUUAGUUUGUCUCUGGAGAAAACUCAAUGUAUUAUUUUUAAUAGAAUAAAAUCGCCAGUUAACAAUGGAACAUUACUUCUGGAUAAUAGAUCAAUUCGGCUUCAGAACAGGGUCAAAUACCUUGGCUUAAUUAUGGAUGAGUCUCUCAGGUGGAAGUUCCACAUUGACGAUUUGAAGAAUAGAAUUAGGAGAUAUUCAAACAUUUUAAAAUGGAUUGCUGGUUCUUCUUGGGGGGUCAGUUCUCAGGACUGCAUAAGAUUCAUUAAUGCCACAAUUGGCGCCCAAAUGGAGUGGGGAUGCAUGUGGUACCACAGUGCUGCCUGUUCAUAUAUUUGCGCUCUGGAAAAAUCCCUAGGACUAUAAAUCCGCGCUUGGACUCCCUAGAUCAACUCAACAGAGUGGUCUGGAUAUUCAGCAAACAGUUUUAACCUUGUCUUUCGAAGAGGAUUAUGGUUAGGACGGAUAAAUAUCUAUGUAAAUUGAUUCAACUGAAAAGAUAUCAUAAUCAACAAAAUUAAAAACUAUCAUUCAUAUAGGUUAACUAGAAGGGUAGCGAAUAGGAACAUCCCGUACAUUGUUGAUAGAUGGCCUGCGACGGUUCUAGAACUCCCGUGGAAGAGGGAGGACCUCUGGGCCUUAGAAAUAGUCCUGGAAAAUGAUUGGAAAGAAUUGAACAUCUGUUUUGACUCUAAAAGCAACCUAGAGGUGAUUAAAUCCUCGGAGGAGGUAUAUCGAAAUACUAUUAUUAAACUUGGCUGGACAGAAUAAGGAUGCAACUUGCCGUAGCUAAAAAAAGGGAUCACAAGAUAAGAUUUACAUGGUGUCCAGCACACAAAAACAUAGAAAGGAACGAUAAAGUGGAUAGCACGGCUCAGGAUGGGACGCUGAUUGGUGAUUCGAUUGAUAAGUUCAACUAUAUAGCUUUCCCAGAGCUAUACAAAUGCUACAAAAUUUAAAUUUGGUUGGUCCAAGUCGACAAACUGUAAGUGUGGAUACCUUAUUCAGGAUAUUAAUCAUAUUUUCUGGGGUUGUCCCAAUCUCAUAAGACCCAGGGAGAAUCUGUAUAAAAGAUUAUUUGAACUUAGACUCAUCGCUCCCUAUAUAAUUGAAUAUCUGAUUUCUAUUUUGAAUAUAGUAUCGCCAAGGCAAUAAUCAGAUUUGUACUAGAGAGUAAAUUACAAAUUUAAUGCAUGGAGUUACCGUCUAGACUAAUGUCUUUGUUGAGUGCGUGCCGAAGGACUUUCCUUGCAGGUUGUGAAGGGGGACGUGGGCUCUACAUGCAGAAGAUCCUACUUUAACAAGAUCAGUCUAUUGGAAACCAGGGCACAAUCUGACCCCCCACGAUUGCCGCCCUCUAAGCCUUUAAAGCGUGGUACUGUGUACCCUUUUGGGACGGAAAUCCAUUGGGCGAAGGAAGAUGUGCGCCAUAUGGCGUCAAUGCCCCCUGGGGGCACACAUAUUUUCCGCGCCAUAUGGCGUCAAUGCCGACGAAGUGGUUAAAUAAGGGUGUUCAGCUCUUGCUGCCCUACCCAAAUGGUCUCGCGCGAGUGCAAAUGCACCGGCGCCAGCGAGAGCGUAGGCUUACCCCUUCUCCAAGGAGUAAUUAAAGAAUCAAAUUAAUUAAUUGAUUUGCGCAAUUAUUACCAAUAAUCUAGAGCCGAGGCGCCUCAGAAGGAAGCCGGCUAGGGGGAGAAUCACUCUCCUUUUGGAAAUUUUUCGAUAUCUAAUUCGGUUCAUUAAUGGUGUUUUUAAUUGACGCAUGCGCGCCGCCAGAGCGGGCCGCAUGCUCGCAGCGCGAUACACCGGGCCCGGCACCAAGAGCGCGUGAAUUCGCCAACGUUCGGUUACCGUGGCACAACGCAUCGUAUGUUCGUGACGGAUGGCGUAAAUUAUUUAGCCGGACGUAACAAUGAUAAUUCGACGAUUAUUAUUGUUUGAUACAUGCGUCGAUGUCAUCGUAACCCGACGAUGUUCCUGUUUGCCCAUUAGGAGUUAUCAGAGUGCGAGUUUGAGAUGAAAAUUAAAUAAAAUAUAAAAAUGAUGAUGAUUCGGCAGGCAUGUCUCCCGGUGAAUUAUCUUUUCUUUUUGAAUCGGGGAAAAAUAAUCGCGCAACAAUGAAUUACAUUUUUAUUAUUACAUCUUACAAAGAACUGGUCAUGACUAAUCCGAUUUUUUUAAAAAUGUGUUUUCAAACAAAUAUUUAAGACACAUUUUUAUCAGCUUAAUUAAAAAAAUGAUUAGUAGAAUAAUUUAAGAAGCGAAACAAUCCCUGUAAGCUAUAUAGAGAAUGGAAGUAUUUGAAAAAUAUUAGAUUUUGAAAAAUUUAAACAUAAUUGCAAAGCAUAUAAAGAACCGUCAAUGUUUUACCUUUAAAAUAUUUUUUUCCGUUGUGAUAACUAAUAUUUAAAAGUAUUACGUUUAAAAGAUGUUUAAAUUUAGUUGAUAUAAAAAAUACGCACAUCUUAAAUUUUUGUGUCUAAGAGGAUAUUUCAAGAAUUGAAAUUUGACCGUUCCUCAAGUUAGUCGCACUUAAUAAUGAAGAACGAUCUCUAGAUGUGAAAGCGUCAUUUUCAUAUCGAUAGUUAUGCGUAAUUGCACAUUUUGUUGAUAAAUGCGUUUGUACUUUCUUUUUUAAACAAACAAAAAAAAAACGCGUCAAGCAUUCGUAAAGCGAAAUCAAGUAAAAUAAGAUGAGCAAAUAAUUCUGCAUGUGUAUAUUAUUAUUAGAAUUCUUUACUUAAAUUUAUACAAUAUGCCUUGUAUGCGUAUAUUUCUCAAAUACAAUGUGCAAUGGACCAAGUAUGACAGGAUUGAUAUCUUACUCGUGUAAUGUCGUGUCCCAUAACUCGUGUUCCAUCUCGAGAAUUAAAAAUUCCACCUUAAUCAUUUAGUUAUAAUUAUAUCGUAUUCUAUCUUCUUUUUUCGAGCAGAGGUCGAUAUGCCUGUUCUCUCCUUUUCUUGAAUGGUGUCGCAGGAUCGCGUAUUUGCACUCAAUGUAUUGCGCCCAUGAUUAGCGAAAAAACAAUAAGCGAUUAUUUAGAGAAUUGCAUAAUUACUAAAUAAAAAGCAGUGUCAUGUGU